UACAGAGGUCACAAGCGUUAUCCGGAUUUAUUGGGCGUAAAGCGUUUCGUAGGUGGGUUCAUAAGUUAUCCUUUAAAGACUACGGCUCAACCGGAGGAAGGGGGAUAAUACUGUGAGUCUUGAUUUUUGGCGGGGCAUCUGGAACUGAUGGUGUAGUAGUGAAAUACGUUGAUAUCAUCAGGAACUCCAAGGGCGAAGGCAGGAUGCUAGCCAAUUAAUGACACUGAGGAACGACAGCUAGGGGAGCGAAUGGG
rnacentral:rRNA from 1 species